GGUUUAAAGAAUUCAAAGUUUUUAGAAUAUAAUAUUGAAGUUAUUAAGGAGAGAACCUUUUUUAAGACCAC
rnacentral:tRNA from 1 species